AUGCACCCCGCGCUCCUUGCUAGGUCCGCGGCCCCGCCCCUGCACCGCCAACGCCUUCGCCUGAGAGGAGGGGCUGUGCUACGCCUGCUCCCGGGCCCGCAGGCUUCUGGCCGGCGAUCGCUUCCGGAACAUUGCCGGGCUCCCGCCUACCGGGCCACGCAAGCGGGGAAGAGUCUCCUCCACUUGGAGCGGGAAGGGACCCGAAAUUGCGCGGGUGCCGCCACAGAGCGAACCUGUUGGAGAAUGUACUUCUUGGAAAUGAAGAAGAUCCAGGGAACAGAAGGUUCACCAUGGAGGAGCAGGGAAGGGAAUUCCCAGUAAAUCAAAGAUUUCUUCUUGGUUUGGAUCCAUUACUGGCCUAUAGUGAAUCUACCACCUUUGUUGACUGCUUCUUCUUCCCUACUUAUUGCUAUAGAAGCUACCUGAGCUCAUUGUCCCUGGAGAUGGACCAAAUAGAAGAACAAGCAGUGCCUAUGUGGUGAACUUCAAGAG
rnacentral:lncRNA from 1 species